CCCUUAGAUGUUCUGGGCCGCACGCGCGCUACACUGAUGCAUUCAACGAGUCUAAAACCUGGUCUGAUAGGGCUGGGUAAUCUUUUGAAUGUGCAUCGUGAUUGGGAUAGAUGAUUGCAAUUCUUCAUCUUCAACGAGGAAUGCCUAGUAAACGCAAGUCAUCAGCUUGCAUUGAUUACGUCCCUGCCCUUUGUACACACCGCCCAUCGCUCCUACCGAUUGAAUGUUCCGAUGAAUACCAUGGACUGAGAGUAUGAAUGGGUUCGCCUAUUUCUGCUUCUCGGGAAGUGGAGUAAAUCUUAACAUUUAGAGGAAGGAGAAGUCGUAACA
rnacentral:rRNA from 1 species